CAGUAAUUAGUUUAAUUAAAAUAUUAAUUUUGGGGAUUAAAGAUGAGAAUUAGUUCUUUUUACUGA
rnacentral:tRNA from 1 species